UACAGAGGGUGCGAGCGUUAAUCGGAAUUACUGGGCGUAAAGGGCGCGUAGGCGGUUAUAUAAGUUAGAUGUGAAAUCCCUGGGCUUAACCUAGGAACUGCAUCUAAGACUGUAUAACUGGAGUGCAGUAGAGGGUAGUGGAAUUUCCGGUGUAGCGGUGAAAUGCGUAGAUAUCGGAAGGAACACCAGUGGCGAAGGCGGCUACCCGGACUGACACUGACGCUGAGGCGCGAGAGCGUGGGGAGCAAACAGG
rnacentral:rRNA from 1 species